AUUACUCACGAUAAACGUUCACAAAAAGCAUAACAAUUAUUUAAAGAAUUAUAGAUACAGACCUCCUCUAUGCACUCGAUAUGUCCGAUUUUAAAAUAGCUUUUUGGUGAAAGCACAUUUUGCAAUAUUCUAAGUACAUAGCCCAGGCAUCACGGGCUCGCUAUUUAGACACCCGGCAAGUUUAGCACUCACCAUAAUCAUAUUUACUAUUAUAAAAGUUUGAUUACCUUUUGUUGUCUUCGUCAGAAUGCACACCCAGGACUGCUACUUCAAUAACAAAUGUUGGUUUGGUCCAAAAUAAUCCAUCGUUAUAUCCGAAUAGCGGCGUUUUGUUCGUGCGUUCCAGACACUAUCCGAAAUAGUAAAGAAGUUGCGCAUGGCGCAAUUCGUGACAAUAAAAUUCUAAAUAUUCCAUUACCGUACUUCGAAGCAUGUCAACCGCUGUUUAAAAUCAAUUUUUAUGACAUUUUUCUCGUAGAAAAGCGAUAAUAUUCCGACAGGGAAUCUCCUUUUCGGCAAACAGAGGAAAAAAUCCCAAAGGCGGGGGCGGUCGGGUCACGAGCAUGAGCCCCAGUGUCCCUUGAUCGGCCACUUGAGAAAGGCGAUAAUGUGUUUCAGCCUGGGGCUGGAAUGACGACAUUCUGUUUAUUCCCGGGCUCUGAGCGCCUAUGGACGACGUGGGAAGUGUCACGUUAGAGCAGAGAUCCUUAGUAAAUGAUAGAGAUGGAAAAGAAGUUCCAGAAAUGGUCAGACAGGCCACUUCCUGUAAAGGAAUCUCUCAGGUUUUGACCUGCCAUUUGAGUUCUGUUAUACUCACAGACACCAUUCAAACAGUUUUAGAAAAUUUAGGGUGUUCUAUCCAUAUGUAAUAAGUAUAUGCAUAUUCUAGUUACUGGGUAGGAGUGGUAACCAGAUUAAAUCGGGUAUGUUUUUUAUCCAGCCGUGUCAAUACUGCCCCCUAUCCUAAACAGGUUAACCAGAACAUGAAUAAUAUUCAAGGUGGACGAAUGCAUUCUCUUUUAAAACGUAUUGGAACGAGGGUACCCAACAUGACCUCGCGUGCCAGAGUCUAAUCGGCCAUCACCGUUCCAAGGCUCUUGUUCGGUCAGAUCUCAUAGUAGAAGACUCAAAACACUUUGUAAAGGCUGGUGACAUCUAGUGGAAGCAAUAGGAAGUGCCAAAACAUUAAUCAGCCCCUGUGUGUUUCAAUGACAUAGGCUUAAAGGUAAUUCAACACAUCAGGUAUCCACUUCCUGUCAGAAAAUGUCUCAGGGUUUUGCCUGCCAAAUGAGUUCUGUUAUACUCACAGACACCAUUCAAACAGUUUUAGAAACUUUAGGGUGUUUUCUAUCCAUAUAUAGUAAGUAUAUGCAUAUUCUAGUUACUGGGUAGGAUUAGUAACCAGAUUAAAUCGGGUACGUUUUUUUAUCCAGCCGUGAAAAUACUGCCCCCUAGCCCCAACAGGUUAAAAUAGGUAACACUUCUGACCCCAGUACUGCAUUAUAAUAGGUAACACUUCUGAUCCCUGUUCUGCAUUCACCGACUCACAUUGACUCAUCGUGGCCGACUGUGUGAUUUUUCUCUCUCCGUGGCCGACUGUGUGUGUAAGACUCGUAAGGCCGCUGGGCCAGACGGAAUACCAGGGGUCGUUUUUCCAGAGCAUGUGCAGACCAGCUAGAAAGUGUCUUCGUUGACAUUUUUCAACAUCUCCUUGUUCUAGUCUGUCAAUUUUCCCUGCCAUUUUCCCACCAUUUUCCUUGUUCCGAAGAACUCCAAGGCAACCUGCCUAAAUGACUGUCGUCCCUGUAGCAAUCACGUCUGUCACCAUGGAAAUGCUUUAAAAGUUAUGUCACACAUCAACACCAUCGUCCCGGUCAUGUAGUACGCUUGACUGUACGCUUGUUUAUCUGUAACUCUGUUGUUGUUGUUUGUGUCGAACUGCUUUGCUUUAUUCUUGGCCAGGUCGCAGUUGUAAAUGAGAACUUGUUCUCAACUAGCCUACCUGGUUAAAUAAAAUAAAAAAUAGUGUCUCUCUGGCCCUCUGUGUGUGUGUGGCCUUAUCACACGUCCAAUAUAUGAAAUCAUUAAAAUAAGAUUUUCAACAACAAAAGAAUGUUACAAAAGCUGUACAACAUUUAUCCUAAAUCUAAACCAUCGGGUUGGUGAAUAAACAUUGGUGUUUUAAUAAAAAGGGUUUCAACAUGAAAUAUCUUCUUCUUUGACUACUGUCGGUGCGUAUUUGUGGUUGUUUUGGCGUUAGACUGGUAGGCAAUCGGGACAUGUUAUCGUUAGGAUGAGGUGCUGAGUUCAUUAAGAAAUCUAAAUGUUGAUUUACAUCUUUUCAUUAAUCAGGCUCUUUUCUCUUGAACCAUAUUGGUCUAUCUACUAGAGACUCAUGGGCAAUAUGGACUUAUUAUUAUUAUUAUUAUUAUUUUAAAAGGAAAUCUUUAUGAAAACGUUUGUUAUUGAAAUAUAAAUUAAGAAAGUUGCGAUAGAUUGUCACAGAUUUUCUGUCAAUUACGAAAAUUACUGAAGAUUGUGGUAACUUUGGUAAACUACUGGUAGUUUUGCAACCCUAUGGCUGAUACAUAGAACCCCUGGCCUUCAGACCUCCUGAGCUACAGAAGGACAUGUCCAGGUUAGGAAGGUUUCUCCCAGGGGACAUGUCCAGGUUAGGAAGGUUUCUCCCAGGGGACGUGUCCAGGUUAGGAAGGUUUCUCCCAG
rnacentral:lncRNA from 1 species